rnacentral:lncRNA from 1 species
AGGUUUUAAAAAUCUACAGCGGAACAAUAGAUCUGCAACGGACGACGGUGGCCAAUUCAGACGCCCUUGUGCGGCGGGCCGAUGUCCCUGACUCACCUUGGCGGGGAAGUGGCGAUUGCAUCACGGAAGGGUUGGCGAGAUGUGUGCCUGCAAAUGUAUUUUCGUUGUUUUUUUACCGGUGGCUAGGGCUGGUUAUGAUGAAUUCAUGGUAUGUGUGCGUUUAGUUGCGUAUACGGCGACGACGACUCGACGG